UACGUAGGUGGCAAGCGUUGUCCGGAUUUAUUGGGUUUAAAGGGUGCGUAGGCGGCCCUGUAAGUCAGUGGUGAAAGCCCGGAGCUCAACUCCGGAAAUGCCAUUGAAACUGUGAGACUUGAGGAUGAGAGAGGUGAGUGGAAUUCCCAGUGUAGAGGUGAAAUUCGUAGAUAUUGGGAAGAACACCGGUGGCGAAGGCGGCUCACUGGCUCAUAUCUGACGCUCAGGCGCGACAGCGUGGGGAUCAAACAGG
rnacentral:rRNA from 1 species